CUAAAUGAACAGUGACAUAGAAAAGACAGUCUGCAUAUGAUUCUGGAGCUGUAGUCUGUCUCUUCUCUGUCAUUGUGGCUUG
rnacentral:miRNA from 14 species